rnacentral:lncRNA from 1 species
UGUGGGUUGGUUUCCAUGCCAGCUCAUUUUUACUUUUUUCUGACCUCCGGAACGGAUUAGUUUUCAAUGCAUUCCUAUGGGAAACCACGUUUUGGUUUACGAAUUUUUCGCAAUGCAAAACGUCCUGGAAAACACAUUAAAUUCGUAAACCGAGGUACCACUGUAAUGUGAAAGAAACUCAGAUACCACCUGCUAUUCACACCUCUAAUUAUAGUCACUCAUCUCUCCCAUUUUAAAUCUUCCAAGGUGCAUUCAACUUAUUGAGUCUUCUUCUGUAUUUGCCUUCUAUGUUUGCAUAUAUGCAUAUUCUAGAUUUAUAUACUUAUCUCAGCUAAAGUGAUCUGAGUGCCUAUAGUGGUCCUUUAAGUGUAUGUGUAUCUGCAUGCACUGGCGUACAUACCGCGGUCGCAGGGGUCGCAGCCCUGUGACCCCUGCGGCCAGUUCCAGCCGCCAUGUGUUGCGGCCCCGGCCCACGCAGAGUAAGCGCCGGGAGGGGUAAAGGGGCCCACAGAUCAAUUUUCGCACCGGGGCCCCAUGGAUCGUGUGUACACCACUGGUCUGGUGAAUACCUUAUUUUCACCAAACAAUUACAGCAAUUUUUACAUAGAUAGAACUGCAUGUAUUUGAAUUCAAUACUUGUUUUUACAAACUAUAUUAGGAUUCAGAAUAUGCAUUUUCAUUCAUUUUAGUUUCGGUGAACAUUUUAAAGGGGAACUCUUACUUCCCAGGAUUCUUAAUAUUUGUUUUAUGUAUGUUCUGUAUUUAGCAAAUAUAUUUUCCUGAGCUUACAAAAAUAAAAUUUAAAGCAAGAUAUUAACAUGGCUGUAUUUACCUCUAUCCUUGAACUGUGCAGCUCCAUUUUGUCUCCUUAUCUAUAAUUUAUAAACAUGUUGCAUUUUUCUGACUUAGAAUAUAUAUAUAGAGAAAAACCUAAAUCAAAUCUUUAAUAUAGAUUUUAAAAUAAUAAUACAGAAGCAUCACUUACGUUAAAAGUGAUUUUCAGUAUUUUAAUCAAUUGUGUAACUUCCAUGGAAUUUACUGCAAUGCACUGUUCAUAAGUAUUUUUGGGUUGGCAGUAAAUUUUGAAUAUUCUUUUUUGGGAGUCAUUCAGUUCACAUUAAAUUUGAAAACAAAAUAAUCUGUUUCAGUGACAGUGCACAAACUCAUAAAUUAUAUGAUGUUUGUUUAUUCUACCAACCUUCAAAACGAAUAUUCUUUUUUUUAAAACCAUUUUCCCCAAUAACAUAUUGUAGGAAUAAUUAUUUGUAAAUUUCAAAUACAGAAACAAUGUACGGUAUGUUAUAACAACUUUUCUCCAUUGUUAUAACAGGACAUUUAUCCUAAUAUAUUAUUAGCAGAAUGGAAGGCAGAAGAAAUCAUAACAAGAAUACAUCCUCUAUCUAUCUAUCUAUCUAUCUAUCUAUCUAUCUAUCUAUCUAUCUAUCUAUCUAUCUAUCUGUUGUAUAGCAUGUAACUUCUAUGUAGUGAUAUAUUGUGUCCUGACAUAAUCAUCUACUUUAUCUUGUUUAUUAGGUAGACAUACUAGACAACACAUAUAUCAAAACAUAUUGAUGUAAUGCAUUCUAACUUUUAUAUCAAUUUAUAUGCUCAAUAACAAAACUAUUAAUAUAUUUAUAUAUUGAUCUCUUUAUCGUUAUCACCAUUAAACAGAAUGCUACAAGAUACCAAUACACUAUAAGCCAAUGUGUUGUUUUUGAAAAAGCAAACUCAUGUUUAAUGAAUAAAAACUAGGAGAGUCAGUUUGAGCGUCCAUUUGUAUUAACGGAAAAAUCGUCGAGUUGCUUCCUUUUCAAGACGUGUAAAUUCUGCAAACAACUUUACAACAUUGCAGAAUGUCUUGCCUUGAUUUCUAAAUGAUUAAUUUGAGUUAUAAGACAUCUUAUAUCCGAGGACUUAAUUGUUAAGACUGAAUUCACAGUUUUUUUUAAUAACUCACACAUAACUGUCUAAAUAAUACAUUUCUGUGAUUGCUAGAGGGAUAUUCAAUGCAUUGAAUAAGAGAGACAGUUCAAAAAGACCAACGCUUUUCUAAUGACACACAGCAAAACUAAUAAUGCCUGGUUAUGCGUAACAAAAAAAAAAAAAAAGACAAACAAAAACCAAUAUACAGACAUUCCAGUCUAUAGUUGUUGGGAAUGGGAAAUAAAUUGUUUCUCAAGAACAAUAUUGUAAAAAUCAUCUGCUAAGUCCAGUUAGUAUAACGAUAAACCAUGGUCGCCAUUAAACACCAUAUGUAAAAAUAAUUGCAUUGCUGUGAUUAAUCCCUUCUCUAAUUGUAUGUGUGCAUUUUGGUUGUGUACAUGUGUCUUUUUGUAGUGUAAGAUAUGAAAAUUUAUAUUUUUUCAAAAAAUAAAACUUUGAAUAGCAAAC